ensembl:lncRNA
CCGCCCAUGACAUCUGCAUAUCUGCUCUGAUUGGGGCAUGUGCAAUACUCUAGCAUUUCUAUUGGCCGAUGCCAACAUUUGUGCUCUGUCUUUGGCCUGCUUUGUGCUGCUGUCUGUUAAGCUGCGGGGGGCAGGAGAGUUGAGGAGGGAGGGACUAAACAAGAGGGGAGAGAAAGACAGGGCAAAACAUUUUGAAAAAGAGAGAGGGGAGGAACAGAUGGGGGGGACUGAACCAUAGAAGUGAGAGAGAGGGGGGAAGGGGGAGCCUCAUUCAGAACAGCUAGUGUGCAGAGCAGAGCAGGGAAGAACUUAUGUGGUGUGGGAAAGUAAAUAGUGCAGGAUAUUUCCAGUCUACUCCGCCUGAGGCUGGAGCCCUAGCAGCUUCAAAAGCAGACAGUGUGAUAAGUAUGAGGAACCUGUCAGUAUAGAAGCAGGACGUUCAUGGGAAGUAACAUAAAUAGUCCACAGGGAGUAACUGAAGCUUGUUAGUGGAACUACUGAGGACAGAAGGAGGUGGAUGUUGAUCCUGAUUACCAGCGUUAUUAGGGACUCAAGGUCCUCUCCCAGUUCCUGAGAGGCCAGCUCAUCCUUGAUGGAGUUAGACAACCCCUGGUGGAAAGUGAUGACCAGUGCCUCUGUAUUCCACCCACUCUCGGUGGCGAAGUCAGCCACUGGUCUGGCCCCUUGGCGGAUGUUGAACAGUUGGCUGGCCGCUUCUCAUCCGCCGACUGGGUGGUCAAAAACCCGUCGCAGCUCGGCAGUGAAGGCUAAUAUGGAGCUGCAGGAGGGUGGCUGCUGUUCCCACACUGCUGUUGCCCACGCCAGGGCAAUGCCCGAGAGUAGAGAGAUUAUGUAGGCGAUCAUGGCCCGAUCGGUGUGGAACGAGGAGGACUGUAGCUCGAACACCAGAGUGCACUGGGUGAGGAACCCCUUGCAACCUCCCGGGUGGCCUUCAUUCCGCUCGGGGGCUGGGAUCUUGGUUUCCUGGUGCCACACAGGACCUCUAUACCAGGUGGUGUCAGGGGAAGGCCCUAAAAGUUGUCAAAGACUCUAGCCACCCUAGUCAUAGACUGUUCUCUCUGCCACCGCACGGCAAGCGGUCCCAGAGCACCAAGUCUAGGUCCAAGAGGCUUCUAAACAGCUUCUACCCCCCCUGGCCACGCUAUUGCUAUUUACUGCUGCUCUUUAAUUAUUUGUUUUUCUUAUCUCUGUCACGCCUUGGUCUUAGUAUUUUGUGUUUUCUUUCUUUAUUUGGUCAGGCCAGGGUGUGACAUGAGUUUAUGUUGUGGUGUGUUUUUGUAUUGGGGUUUUAGUAGGUAUAGGGAUUGUGGCUGAGUAGGGUUGUCUAGGAAAGUCUAUGGCUGCCUGAGGCGGUUCUCAAUCAGAGUCAGGUGAUUAUCGUUGUCUCUGAUUGAGAACCAUAUUUAGGUAGCCCGGGUUUCACUGUGUGUUUGUGGGUGAUUGUUCCUGUCUCUGUUGUCACAAGAUAGGCUGUAUAGGUUUUCAC